AUGGGCAAAUGAAACUGCAAAAAGAGGAUUCCUAGAAAUGAAAGAAAGGUCAGAGUGGAGAAAUAAUCAGCGACUGAACUGAGGGGCUUAGAGUUAGAACUGAAUGACAGAGAAGAUUGUGCUAGAAUUUAAAGAGAGAGAGAAGAAGAAGAGAGAAGGACCAUGAUUGGUAGCAUCUAUCAGUUUCUUUGGUGUAAAUCCCUCCACCAAGGCUGACUUUAAGCUACCAACUCACUGAAUCUGGAUCCCCUGAAGUCACUGAACAUGGAUUCACAAGCUAGUACAAACUGGACCCAGCACACCACCAGCUCAGGAAGUGAAUGAUGUUAUCUGGGCUCCAUGCUGGUAACAGAACUUGGAAAAGCAAGCCUCUUGCUGGGUUUCUGCUAUGUCUCUCUCCUUUUACAAGUGGC